CUGCAGCCGCCCUGGCCUCGCGUCCCGGGCGAGAGAGCAGUUUUCCAGCUGGGAGACCGGCCGCCCACAGCCCGGCAUCUCAGCAGCGGCAGCGACAGCGGCAACCGUUUAAAAAAAAUGCAAAUUCUUUCACUGCUUCUGCCGGAGCCCCCGUGGAUCUGCCUGGCGCGAAACCGGCUCUUUCCCCGCCUCUCCCGCGGCCCCGCCGCCGCUUCCUCCCCGGGUGCUCCCGCUGCGCUGAGCUCAGCCUCCUCGCAUGGCUCCCCUGAUCGUCACGGUGUGUCCGUCCUCAUUCAGUUCUUGCUCACAUGUUCCUCUAUAAGGAGGGCGUUGUUAACCAACUUAGGCGACAGCGACCUCCGGUCGCUUCAUUCCGUUACCCGCCCGAGUCUGGCUCACACCGGAGUUUGGAGGGCUGGUCUGUCUUCUCUGGGAGGGCAGUGACCCCGUCUUGCCACUACAUCCCUGGCACCUGGCAGAGUUGCUUUUCUGGUGGCAGCGGUGGGGAUGAGGCUGCUGCAGGUAGACUGGUUAGCAGUGAAGGAGAGAGGGAAGGCAUUGGGGAGAGGGGGACACUGAAGGGACAAAAAUGGCAAGAUGGGACACUGAAGCCUGGCUUUGCCACUAUGAACCUUGGGCAGGUUAGUCUGGUGGAUUCUGUUUCCUUGUCCUUUGGGUCGCUGAGGGACCUGGUGGGAGGAGUCAGCACUGUGCACCAGACGGGGAAGGGGGUGCAGGGCGGCCUGGGGCGCCAUCUCUGGUACAAGUCACCAGCUUUCCUGCUCCCGCCCUGCUGUGUGUGUGUGGUUUUGUCUCAAAGCCCAGUUAACUGACUCCUCCCCACAAACCCGACCGCUGGAGGCAGGUGUGAAGGGGGUGUUCUCUGGUGGUCACAGCCACCUGUACCCUGCAGUGCCUGUGGCUUGGUCAUUUCGGAGACACCCAACACAGCCGGCUGCGGACACACCAGGCAGUUGCCACACCUUUUUCUCCUUAAAUGAUUUGACUUCAGACUUCAAGAACCUCGAGCAUCAGGUGUCAUGAGUGAAUUUUAUCCAAAGCUAAUCUAAGUCUGUGCCGUUUUCACUAUUUUCACUCAAACUCGUCAGGUAUUUGAAUUUCCUGGAAAGGCUAAGAAUGUUUAUGGUGUCUCAGCUUUGAAGGGGCUGCGAGUCAUUUAGGGAAAAUGUCGACCCAAGAGCCUGCAGCUGAUGGCAGAGGAAGGCGAGGGCUGGCACAGCAGGUGUGCUAACUGCGUCCUCUGAGGCAGGGACUCUGGAAAAAGCCAGAGGAUCUGCUGAGAAUAAAAGUCCCAAAGUCCAACAGGGACUUAGCUGCUGGGUUGUGGUAACUCUCGCUCAGCCCUUGGGGACAGGGACCCGGGUGAGGGAGGGGGACAGGGCAGGGCCCUCCUGAGGCGGCUGUCUCCUUGCAGGGACUUGCGAUGCUGCGCAGGCUGGCCCGGCUGCUCCCGUACGGCCUCGCGGUGCUGCUGCUCAGCGGCCGGCUCUUCCUGCGGAAGGAGGAAGAGCCAGCCGGGGACCCCACGGCCCACCAGCGCUUCUGGGCCCCCCCAGGGCCUCACCGCAGCCAGUGUCCACCGAACCGAACAGUGGCUAAUGCCUCCCUGUCCCUGCCUAGCCGUCACCGUCUCUUCUUGACCUAUCGCCACUGCCGAAACUUCUCCAUCUUGUUGGAGCCUUCUGGCUGCUUCAAGGACACCUUCCUGCUCCUGGCCAUCAAGUCACAGCCUGGUCACGUGGAGCGGCGUGCGGCCAUCCGCAGCACAUGGGGCCGGGCAGGGAGCUGGGCCAGGGGCCGGGCACUGAAGCUGGUGUUCCUUCUGGGGGUGGCAGGACCCACGCCCCCGGCCCAGCUGCUGGCCUAUGAGAGUGGGGAGUUCGAUGACAUCCUGCAGUGGGACUUUGCCGAGGACUUCUUCAACCUGACGCUCAAGGAGCUGCACCUGCAACGAUGGGUGGCAGCCGCCUGCCCUCAGGCACACUUCAUGCUAAAGGGGGAUGAUGACGUCUUUGUCCAUGUCCCCAAUGUGCUAGAGUUCCUGGAUGGCUGGGACCCAGCCCAGGACCUCUUGGUGGGAGAUGUCAUCCGCCAGGCCCUGCCCAACAGGAACACCAAGGUCAAAUACUUCAUCCCACCCUCCAUGUACAGAGCCCGCCACUACCCACCCUACGCCGGCGGUGGAGGGUAUGUCAUGUCCAGAGCCACCGUGCGACGCCUCCAAGCAGCCGUGGAGGAGGCGGAGCUCUUCCCCAUCGAUGACGUCUUUGUGGGUAUGUGCCUGAGGAAGCUGGGGCUGAGCCCCACCCACCAUGCUGGCUUCAAGACGUUUGGAAUCCGACAGCCUCUGGACCCCUGCCUGUACAGAGGGCUCCUGCUGGUGCACCGCCUCAGCCCCCAGGAGAUGUGGACCAUGUGGGCGCUGGUGACAGAUGAGGGGCUCAAGUGUGCAGCUGCCCCCAGACCCCCGCUCUGAGGGAUACAACAGACAAACUCGAAAGAAGGAAAGGAGAGGCAUGUGUUAGAACAGUCCCGUUGAGAGCACCAGGUAAACACUCUGCAUUCAUUCCCUUCACGGUGACAGGCUUUUGACUUGUUGGCCUGGGCUGUCCUUGCAGGGCAGCGGGGCCCGAUCAGAGAAGGAAUUGGAAACACUUGGAAAUCCUGCUAACCAAAUGGGCUCCCCUUCCCCCAAAAUUCACAUUGCUCCCUCCCACGUUAGCAAAUACUUCAGAGGGAGCAAAUACUAAAUCAUAUUUGAAAAUGUAAGAUUAAAAACUGAGGCUGAACAGCUACUGAACCUAAGGGCAUGACCAGAAAGGACCCCUUUCUCUGGCCCAGGUUGGCGAAUGCUUUGGGUCUGAGGUAAGAACAGCAGCGGUGGGAGCAGCUGUACGGAGUGGGGUGAAGUGUUAAAGAGGAUGCAGUGACAAGAACCUGGUCCAGGACGAGCCUGAGACCGCAGGGGGAGGGGCCGGGCACUCUAGCUCACAGAGGCCUCUCGCCUGAUGGGCCGGGCCAGAACCUGCCGCCCCUUCCCUGCGCGGCGAGGAGAGUCGCGCCAACCCUGGGCAGGAUGGUUCUGCCCCUGCUUCCCCCACUCAGCAGGCAGACAGGGCAGCAGGUCAGGCCCUCAGUCCUCUCGCAGGUAGGCCUCCGGCUCCGGCUCCGGCUCGGGCCUCUCGUCCCCUUCCUCCUGUGUUUUCUGACGGAGCUCCUCUGUCUGAGCUUCUGCCAGCUUGGUUUCCGCCUUCUGCGAGAGCUGGCGCACCUCCUGCACCUGCAGUUUCACCAGCUGAAUGUGAUUCCUGGCGGUUAUACACGGCUGAUCUGCUCCUGCCAAAAGAUGGGACAGCUGAGCCAGGCCCACCAACAGGGUAGAAGGGGCACACAGGAAAGCCUGCGGGCGCCGUGGUUGUCAUCUGAGGCCCUCUUGGGGUCUGGUUCCCUGGAGUGGGGGACCUUUCACCUCAACUUCCAGGUCUGCAUUUAUCCAACGCCGUAUUGUCAAAACCCCAGUAUUUCUCUUCAGCCAUCGGCAGCUGACACUUGCAUUAAUAAGAACAUUCAGGACAACGUUGCAGGGAGUGGGGAACAGCAGGCAUCCUCCUCUUUGACGAUGGGGUCUCUGUCUUGCAGGCUGGAGUGCAGUGGUGCUG